rnacentral:sRNA from 1 species
GCCGGGUGUGCUGGCCCACGCCUGUAAUCCCAGCAGCUUGGGAAGCUGAGGCAGGAGAAUCACAAGUUCAAAGCCAGCCUCAAGAACUCAGUGAGGCACUAAACAACUCAGUGAGACCCUGUCUCUA